UACGGAGGGUGCGAGCGUUGUCCGGAAUCACUGGGCGUAAAGGGCGCGUAGGCGGCCUGGUAAGUAGGGGGUGAAAUCCUGCGGCUUAACCGCAGGGCUGCCUUCUAAACUGUCAGGCUCGAGCACAGUAGAGGCAGGUGGAAUUCCCGGUGUAGCGGUGGAAUGCGUAGAGAUCGGGAAGAACAUCGGUGGCGAAGGCGGCCUGCUGGGCUGUUGCUGACGCUGAGGCGCGACAGCGUGGGGAGCAAACAGG
rnacentral:rRNA from 1 species